rnacentral:rRNA from 1 species
UAAGGGCGCACGGUGGAUGCCUUGGCACUAGAAGCCGAUGAAGGACGUUACUAACGACGAUAUGCUUUGGGGAGCUGUAAGUAAGCUUUGAUCCAGAGAUUUCCGAAUGGGGAAACCCAGCAUGAGUUAUGUCAUGUUAUCGAUAUGUGAAUACAUAGCAUAUCAGAAGGCACACCCGGAGAACUGAAACAUCUUAGUACCCGGAGGAAGAGAAAGAAAAUUCGAUUCCCUUAGUAGCGGCGAGCGAAACGGGAAGAGCCCAAACCAACAAGCUUGCUUGUUGGGGUUGUAGGACACUCUAUACGGAGUUACAAAGGACGACAUUAGACGAAUCAUCUGGAAAGAUGAAUCAAAGAAGGUAAUAAUCCUGUAGUCGAAAAUGUUGUCUCUCUUGAGUGGAUCCUGAGUACGACGGAGCACGUGAAAUUCCGUCGGAAUCUGGGAGGACCAUCUCCUAAGGCUAAAUACUCUCUAGUGACCGAUAGUGAACCAGUACCGUGAGGGAAAGGUGAAAAGCACCCCGGAAGGGGAGUGAAAUAGAACCUGAAACCGUGUGCUUACAAGUAGUCAGAGCCCGUUAAUGGGUGAUGGCGUGCCUUUUGUAGAAUGAACCGGCGAGUUACGAUUUGAUGCAAGGUUAAGCAGUAAAUGUGGAGCCGUAGCGAAAGCGAGUCUGAAUAGGGCGUUUAGUAUUUGGUCGUAGACCCGAAACCAGGUGAUCUACCCUUGGUCAGGUUGAAGUUCAGGUAACACUGAAUGGAGGACCGAACCGACUUACGUUGAAAAGUGAGCGGAUGAACUGAGGGUAGCGGAGAAAUUCCAAUCGAACCUGGAGAUAGCUGGUUCUCUCCGAAAUAGCUUUAGGGCUAGCCUCAAGUGAUGAUUAUUGGAGGUAGAGCACUGUUUGGACGAGGGGCCCCUCUCGGGUUACCGAAUUCAGACAAACUCCGAAUGCCAAUUAAUUUA